CGCGUAGGCGGUUUGAUAAGUCAGAUGUGAAAGCCCACGGCUUAACCGUGGAAGUGCAUUUGAUACUGUCAGACUUGAGUACCAGAGGGGAAAGUGGAAUUCCCGGUGUAGAGGUGAAAUUCGUAGAUAUCGGGAGGAAUACCGGUGGCGAAGGCGACUUUCUGGCUGGAUACUGACGCUGAGGCGCGAAAGCGUGGGGAGCAAACAG
rnacentral:rRNA from 1 species